GAUGAACGCUGGCGGCGUGCCUAAUACAUGCAAGUCGAGCGAACAGACGAGGAGCUUGCUCCUCUGACGUUAGCGGCGGACGGGUGAGUAACACGUGGAUAACCUACCUAUAAGACUGGGAUAACUUCGGGAAACCGGAGCUAAUACCGGAUAAUAUAUUGAACCGCAUGGUUCAUUAGUGAAAGACGGUUUUGCUGUCACUUAUAGAUGGAUCCGCGCCGCAUUAGCUAGUUGGUAAGGUAACGGCUUACCAAGGCAACGAUGCGUAGCCGACCUGAGAGGGUGAUCGGCCACACGGGAACUGAGACACGGUCCAGACUCCGACGGGAGGCAGCAGUAGGGAAUCUUCCCAAUGGGCGAAAGCCUGACGGAGCAACGCCGCGUGAGUGAUGAAGGUCUUCGGAUCGUAAAACUCUGUUAUUAGGGAAGAACAAAUGUGUAAGUAACUAUGCACGUCUUGACGGUACCUAAUCAGAAAGCCACGGCUAACUACGUG
rnacentral:rRNA from 1 species